CUAGCCCUGCUCCGUUCCAACACAGCACUCACCAGUGUCACUGUCUGCAGUGAUGUUCAGUAACUACAAAUUGGACAUCAUCUCAAUUAACAAGGUAAAGAUAUAGCGGCACUUCUCCACAACAGGAGCCAGAUGAGAAGGGGGUCCUGAGACAGGAGGGCCACAUCUCCCAUAAGAUCCACUGAGGUACCUGCUGGAGAAGACUUUGCUGUAAAGGGCAAGGUGACUCUGAGAGAAGAGAUUCUAGUGCAUGAGAAAGGCCAGCCCGAUAGCCCCCUUCCCACUUUGAAACCUUCCUGCAAUUUCUCCUGCAGUUAUGGGAACUGGAGUCUGGCUCAGGAGCAUCUGGCCUCCCUCACUGCAUCAGGACCCUGCGAUGGAUUAAUUUUGAGUGCUUUUUUUGUCUCUUGUGGUCUCUUCUCAGUAGACAGGGCAGCCACAUCAGGGAGAGCAAAGCCGUGCGAACAAGACCCAGCCGUCGUUUGUUAAAAUAUGCCGACUGCACAAAACUCUUCCCCGGGAAGGCAGAGAGGCUCCACCUUGGAGAACGCGCUGGGAAAUUAUAAUUCAUUGAUUUGGAAGCCAA